AGCGAACGCUGGCGGCAGGCUUAACACAUGCAAGUCGAACGGGCAUCUUCGGAUGUCAGUGGCAGACGGGUGAGUAACACGUGGGAACGUACCCUUCGGUUCGGAAUAACUCAGGGAAACUUGAGCUAAUACCGGAUACGCCCUUUUGGGGAAAGGUUUACUGCCGAAGGAUCGGCCCGCGUCUGAUUAGCUUGUUGGUGGGGUAACGGCCUACCAAGGCGACGAUCAGUAGCUGGUCUGAGAGGAUGAUCAGCCACACUGGGACUGAGACACGGCCCAGACUCCUACGGGAGGCAGCAGUGGGGAAUAUUGGACAAUGGGCGCAAGCCUGAUCCAGCCAUGCCGCGUGAGUGAUGAAGGCCUUAGGGUUGUAAAGCUCUUUUGUCCGGGACGAUAAUGACGGUACCGGAAGAAUAAGCCCCGGCGAACUUCGU
rnacentral:rRNA from 1 species